UUAAUUGAAGAGUUUGAUCAUGGCUCAGAUUGAACGCUGGCGGCAGGCCUAACACAUGCAAGUCGAGCGGUAACAGAAAUCAGCUUGCUGAUUUGCUGACGAGCGGCGGACGGGUGAGUAAUGUCUGGGAAACUGCCUGAUGGAGGGGGAUAACUACUGGAAACGGUAGCU
rnacentral:rRNA from 1 species